GGGUUGUGAGGUUAAGCGACUAAGCGUACACGGUGGAUGCCCUGGCAGUCAGAGGCGAUGAAGGACGUGCUAAUCUGCGAAAAGCGUCGGUAAGGUGAUAUGAACCGUUAUAACCGGCGAUGUCCGAAUGGGGAAACCCAGUGCAAUUCGUUGCACUAUCGUUAACUGAAUACAUAGGUUAACGAGGCGAACCGGGGGGAACUGAAACAUCUAAGUACCCCGAGGAAAAGAAAUCAACCGAGAUUCCCCCAGUAGCGGCGAGCGAACGGGGAGCAGCCCAGAGUCUGAAUCAGCUUGUGUGUUAGUGGAACGGUCUGGAAAGUCCGACGGUACAGGGUGAUAGUCCCGUACACCAAAAUGCACAGGUUGUGAACUCGAAGAGUAGGGCGGGACACGUGGUAUCCUGUCUGAAUAUGGGGGGACCAUCCUCCAAGGCUAAAUACUCCUGACUGACCGAUAGUGAACCAGUACCGUGAGGGAAAGGCGAAAAGAACCCCGGCGAGGGGAGUGAAAAAGAACCUGAAACCGUGUACGUACAAGCAGUGGGAGCACCUUCGGGUGUGACUGCGUACCUUUUGUAUAAUGGGUCAGCGACUUAUAUUCUGUAGCAAGGUUAACCGUAUAGGGGAGCCGCAGGGAAACCGAGUCUUAACUGGGCGUUAAGUUGCAGGGUAUAGACCCGAAACCCGGUGAUCUAGCCAUGGGCAGGUUGAAGGUUGGGUAACACUAACUGGAGGACCGAACCGACUAAUGUUGAAAAAUUAGCGGAUGACUUGUGGCUGGGGGUGAAAGGCCAAUCAAACCGGGAGAUAGCUGGUUCUCCCCGAAAGCUAUUUAGGUAGCGCCUCGUGAAUUCAUCUUCGGGGGUAGAGCACUGUUUCGGCUAGGGGGGUCAUCCCGACUUACCAACCCGAUGCAAACUACGAAUACCGAAGAAUGUUAUCACGGGAGACACACGGCGGGUGCUAACGUCCGUCGUGAAGAGGGAAACAACCCAGACCGCCAGCUAAGGUCCCAAAGUCAUGGUUAAGUGGGAAACGAUGUGGGAAGGCACAGACAGCCAGGAUGUUGGCUUAGAAGCAGCCAUCAUUUAAAGAAAGCGUAAUAGCUCACUGGUCGAGUCGGCCUGCGCGGAAGAUGUAACGGGGCUAAACCAUGCACCGAAGCUGCGGCAGCGACACUAUGUGUUGUUGGGUAGGGGAGCGUUCUGUAAGCCUGCGAAGGUGACCUGUGAGGGUUGCUGGAGGUAUCAGAAGUGCGAAUGCUGACAUAAGUAACGAUAAAGCGGGUGAAAAGCCCGCUCGCCGGAAGACCAAGGGUUCCUGUCCAACGUUAAUCGGGGCAGGGUGAGUCGACCCUAAGGCGAGGCCGAAAGGCGUAGUCGAUGGGAAACAGGUUAAUAUUCCUGUACUUGGUGUUACUGCGAAGGGGGGACGGAGAAGGCUAUGUUAGCCGGGCGACGGUUGUCCCGGUUUAAGCAUGUAGGCUGGUUAUCCGUGCAAAUCCGGAUAAUCAAGGCUGAGGUGUGAUGACGAGGCACUACGGUGCUGAAGUAACAAAUGCCCUGCUUCCAGGAAAAGCCUCUAAGCAUCAGGUAACAUCAAAUCGUACCCCAAACCGACACAGGUGGUCAGGUAGAGAAUACCAAGGCGCUUGAGAGAACUCGGGUGAAGGAACUAGGCAAAAUGGUGCCGUAACUUCGGGAGAAGGCACGCUGGUGUGUAGGUGAAGUCCCUGCGGAUGGAGCUGAGACCAGUCGAAGAUACCAGCUGGCUGCAACUGUUUAUUAAAAACACAGCACUGUGCAAACACGAAAGUGGACGUAUACGGUGUGACGCCUGCCCGGUGCCGGAAGGUUAAUUGAUGGGGUUAUCCGUAAGGAGAAGCUCUUGAUCGAAGCCCCGGUAAACGGCGGCCGUAACUAUAACGGUCCUAAGGUAGCGAAAUUCCUUGUCGGGUAAGUUCCGACCUGCACGAAUGGCGUAAUGAUGGCGAGGCUGUCUCCACCCGAGACUCAGUGAAAUUGAACUCGCUGUGAAGAUGCAGUGUACCCGCGGCAAGACGGAAAGACCCCGUGAACCUUUACUAUAGCUUGACACUGAACAUUGAGCCUUGAUGUGUAGGAUAGGUGGGAGGCUUUGAAGCGUGGACGCCAGUCUGCGUGGAGCCAACCUUGAAAUACCACCCUUUAAUGUUUGAUGUUCUAACGUUGGCCCCUGACCGGGGUUGCGGACAGUGUCUGGUGGGUAGUUUGACUGGGGCGGUCUCCUCCCAAAGCGUAACGGAGGAGCACGAAGGUUAGCUAAUCGGUCGGACAUCAGGAGGUUAGUGCAAUGGCAUAAGCUAGCUUGACUGCGAGCGUGACGGCGCGAGCAGGUGCGAAAGCAGGUCAUAGUGAUCCGGUGGUUCUGAAUGGAAGGGCCAUCGCUCAACGGAUAAAAGGUACUCCGGGGAUAACAGGCUGAUACCGCCCAAGAGUUCAUAUCGACGGCGGUGUUUGGCACCUCGAUGUCGGCUCAUCACAUCCACGGGCUGAAGUAGGUCCCAAGGGUAUGGCUGUUCGCCAUUUAAAGUGGUACGCGAGCUGGGUUUAGAACGUCGUGAGACAGUUCGGUCCCUAUCUGCCGUGGGCGCUGGAGAAUUGAGGGGGGCUGCUCCUAGUACGAGAGGACCGGAGUGGACGCAUCACUGGUGUUCGGGUUGUCAUGCCAAUGGCACUGCCCGGUAGCUAAAUGCGGAAGAGAUAAGUGCUGAAAGCAUCUAAGCACGAAACUUGCCCCGAGAUGAGUUCUCCCUGAGACUUUAAGUCUCCUGAAGGAACGUUGAAGACGACGACGUUGAUAGGCCGGGUGUGUAAGCGCAGCGAUGCGUUGAGCUAACCGGUACUAAUGAACCGUGAGGCUUAACCUUACAACGCCGAAG
rnacentral:rRNA from 1 species